rnacentral:rRNA from 1 species
UAGUCAUAUGCUUGUCUCAAAGAUUAAGCCAUGCAUGUCUAAGUAUAAGCGUUUAUACAGUGAAACUGCGAAUGGCUCAUUAUAUCAGUUAUCAUUUACUUGAUGAUACCUUACCACUCGGAUAACCGUGGUAAUUCUAGAGCUAAUACGUGCCUUAAGGGCCACCUUUUUGGUGGCCUGCAUUUAUUAGAUAUAAACCAAUGCCAGCAAUGGCUCCUGGUGAUUCAUAAUAACUUGGCGGAUCGCAUGACCUUGCGUCGGCGACGUAUCAAUCAAA